AUAACAGUGAGGGCUUGGGUGCUAAGGUCCAAGUCCGAGAGGGAAAGAACCCAGACCAUCAGCUAAGGUCCCCAAAUAUAUACUAAGUUGAAAGAACGAGGUCUGUCUGCAUCGACAGCUAGGAUGUUGGCUUGGAAGCAGCCAUUCAUUUAAAGAGUGCGUAACAGCUCACUAGUCGAGCGGACGGGCAUGGAUAAUAAUCGGGCAUAAGUAUAUUACCGAAGCUAUGGAUUUAGAGAUUACUCUAAGUGGUAGGGGAGCAUUCUAACAGGGUAGAAGGUGAGUCGUAAGGCUUGCUGGACUGGUUAGAAAAGAAAAUGUAGGCAUAAGUAACGAUAAUGCGGGCGAGAAACCCGCACACCGAAAAACUAAGGUUUCCACAGCUAUGCUAAUCAGCUGUGGGUUAGUCUGGUCCUAAGGCGAACCCGAAAGGGACAGUCGAUGGCCAACGGGUUAAUAUUCCCGUACUACUAUUAAUUGUGAUGGGGUGACGGAGUGAUGAAAGCGCCGCGAACUGACGGAAUAGUUCGUUGAAGUACCUACCUAUAAGAACCGCAGGCAAAUCCACGGUUUUUGGGGAAAUACGAUAGUACUCGGAGCCUUCGGGCAAAGAGAUAGUGCGCCUAAGGGCUUCCAAGAAAAACCUCUAAACUUCAGAUUAAUAGUACCAGUACCGUAAACCGACACAGGUAGUUGAGGAGAGAAUCCUAAGGUGCUCGAGAGAUUCAUGGCUAAGGAAUUAGGCAAAAUAGACCCGUAACUUCGGGAGAAGGGUCGCCAGCAGCAAUGCUGGCCGCAGUGAAGAGGUCCAGGCGACUGUUUAUCAAAAACACAGGGCUCUGCAAAAUCGUAAGAUGAAGUAUAGGGCCUGACACCUGCCCGGUGCUGGAAGGUUAAGUGGAGAUGUUAUGGGUAACCAGAAGCAUUGAAAUGAAGCCCCAGUAAACGGCGGCCGUAACUAUAACGGUCCUAAGGUAGCGAAAUUCCUUGUCGGGUAAGUUCCGACCUGCACGAAUGGUGUAACGAUCUGGACACUGUCUCAGCCAUGAGCUCGGUGAAAUUGUAGUAACGGUGAAGAUGCCGUUUACCCGCAGUGGGACGAAAAGACCCUGUGCACCUUUACUAUAGCUUAGUAUUGACCUUGGAUAAAUGAUGUGUAGGAUAGGUUGGAGACUGUGAAGUGGCGUCGCUAGGCGUUGUGGAGUCAUUGUUGAAAUACAACCCUUUGUUUAUCUGAGGCCUAACCCCGCAUAAGUGGGGGACAUUGCUUGGUGGGUAGUUUGACUGGGGUGGUCGCCUCCAAAAGAGUAACGGAGGCUUCUAAAGGUUCCCUCAGCACGCUUGGUAACCGUGCGUAGAGUGCAAUGG
rnacentral:rRNA from 1 species